rnacentral:lncRNA from 1 species
CAGACAGCCCUGAUUGCUAUUCCAAUGUCAUCACAAACCCCCAGGAUGCUUGGAAGGCCAAGGAAUCAAGGUCAGCUGUAUCCACAGCCCUAGUCUCAAGCCUUCAUCCUCUUACCCGAUAGCAGGCGAUUCCCAGUCCUAGCCAGAUAGAUGAGCCCCAGUCUCAGGAAGAUGAAGUGCAUCUCAGAAGCAUCCACUACAAAGCUAAUGGUUCGUUCAUAGCAUGCCUUGGCCUCAGAAUGAUUUCCACUCAGAAAAUAGAGAUGGCCCUUCAGGCCCCAGACAUUGGGGUUCUGGGAAAGUGAAAAGCAAGUAGUAUAUGGGAUAAGGUAGUAUUUAAAAGUACCUUGAUGAUCUUUGUUUAACAUUUAAAUUUAGAUAGAUUGUCCAUUUCCUUUCUCUUUUCUUUUUCAGAUCAACCGUUUUCUUUUUCUAAGAGCACUCAGAAACAUAACCAUUUAAUUGUACAAGGAGACAUUUUUCUAGCUCUGCCCUCAGAUUUCUUUCUUGCAUUCUUCAAAGCCAUUUUGGGUGUGGAGUAAAUAUUAAGAAAAACAUUCAAGCAUAACCCCAAUACUGUUCACAUGAGAAAAUAUAAGAAAUCUAGAAAAAUUGAAAUAAACACUAUCAGCUAAAGAU